AUGCCUACGGGGCGCAGCAGUGAGGAAUAUUGGUCAAUGGGCGAGAGCCUGAACCAGCCAAGUCGCGUGAGGGAAGACGGUCCUAUGGAUUGUAAACCUCUUUUGCCGGGGAGCAAAGAGCGGUACGCGUACCGCAUCGAGAGUACCCGGAGAAAAAGCAUCGGCUAACUCCGUGCCAGCAGCCGCGGUAAUACGGAGGAUGCGAGCGUUAUCCGGAUUUAUUGGGUUUAAAGGGUGCGCAGGCGGCGAGUUAAGUCAGCGGUAAAAUUUCGGGGCUCAACCCCGCCAAGCCGUUGAAACUGGCU
rnacentral:rRNA from 1 species